rnacentral:misc_RNA from 1 species
CGCACAUUGCGCCCUUUGGCAUUCCGAAGGGCAUGCCCGUUCGAGCGUCAUUAACCCCCAUCAAGUCUGACUUGGUAUUGGGCGUCGGGGUGUUCCCGUGCCCUAAUGUCACCGGCUGGCCGUCGCCUGUUUUAGCGUUGUGACACAUUUUCGCUAGGGAGAGACGACGGUGCGCGCCGUUAAAUCGCACAAGUUCUUAAUCGAAUUUGAACAAGGUUGACCUCGGAUCGGGUAGGAAUACCCGCUGAACUUAA